rnacentral:tRNA from 23 species
AGCCGGAAUAGCUCAGUUGGUAGAGCAGAGGACUGAAAAUC